rnacentral:tRNA from 2 species
UAUGGCAGAAAUCAUGCAAUGAACUUAAGAUUCAUCUAUAAAGAAUUAUCUUUUAUUAGAA